GACGAACGCUGGCGGCGUGCUUAACACAUGCAAGUCGAACGGAAAGGCCCUGCUUUUGUGGGUUGCUCGAGUGGCGAACGGGUGAGUAACACGUGAGUAACCUGCCCUUGACUUUGGGAUAACUUCAGGAAACUGGGGCUAAUACCGGAUAGGAGCUCCUGCUGCAUGGUGGUGGUUGGAAAGUUUCGGCGGUUGGGGAUGGACUCGCGGCUUAUCAGCUUGUUGGUGGGGUAGUGGCUUACCAAGGCUUUGACGGGUAGCCGGCCUGGGAGGGUGACCGGCCACAUUGGGACUGAGAGACGGAGCAGAAUCCUACGGGAGGCAACAGUGGGGAAUAUUACACAAUGGGCGGAAGCCUGAUGCAGCAACGCCGCGUGCGGGAUGACGGCCUUCGGGUUGUAAACAGAUUUCGCCUGUGACGAAGAGUGAGUGACGGUAAUGGGUAAAGAAGCAACGGCUAACUACGUG
rnacentral:rRNA from 1 species